AGAUGUGGCUCAGUUUGGUAGAGCGCUGCGUUCGGGACGCAGAAGCCGCAGGUUCAAAUCCUGUCAUCU
rnacentral:tRNA from 1 species